CAGGCCUAACACAUGCAAGUCGAGCGGGCCUUCGGGUGAGCGGCGGACGGGUUAGUAACGCGUGGGAACGUGCCCUUUUCUACGGAAUAACCUCUGGAAACGGAUAGUAAUACCGUAUACGCCCUUUGGGGGAAAGAUUUAUCGGAGAAGGAUCGGCCCGCGUUAGAUUAUGUAGUUGGUGGGGUAACGGCCUACCAAGCCUACGAUCUAUAGCUGGUUUUAUAGGAUGAUCACCAACACUGGGACUGAGACACGGCCCAAACUCCUACGGGAGGCAGCAGUGGGGAAUCUUAGACAAUGGGGGCAACCCUGAUCUAACCAUGCCGCGUGAGUGAUGAAGGCCUUAAGGUCGUAAAGCUCUUUCGCCUGUGAUGAUAAUGACAAUAGCAGGUAAAGAAACCACGGCUAACUCCGUGCCAGCACCCGCGGUAAGACGGACGGGGUUAGCGUUGUUCGGAAUUACUGGGCGUAAAGCGCGCGUAGGCGGAUUAAAAAGUUGGGGGUGAAAUCCCGGGGCUCAACCUCGGAACUGCCUCCAAAACUGCUAGUCUAGAGUUCCAGAGACGUGAGUGGAAUUCCGAGUGUAGAAGUGAAAUUCGUAGAUAUUCAGAGGAAACCAGUGGCGAAUGCGGCUCACUGACUCUAUACU
rnacentral:rRNA from 1 species